GAUAAUAAUAAUAAAUGAGACCGCGCGCGUACCAUACUGUGCGGUACGACAACAAAUAACACGUAGUUGUGACAUUGGCCAGCCGCGAUUACAGUACGUGUAUUAUAAUGAAAACAAACAGGAAAGGCCGCGGUAUUAUGAUUAUUUUUAUUUUUUUCUUUCCCCCGUCGCGUCGCAACCGAUAACGCUCGUGUUAUUAUUAUUGUUAUCGUCCCACAUGAUGCGCCGAGCCAACAGCGGGUCGAGGAGAAAUAGAAGUGGUAACCGAUAACGUUCGUAAAUAAUAAUAUUGUGCAAAUCGUCGACUCGCCGCCGUGGUCGGGGAACGUAUAAAACGGAUUCGCGGACGGGUGGCCGCGUGCACUUAACGCGCGUACUAGCUAGUGGACCGGAUCAUCAGGUAUCGUCGUCCACAUCACGUCCUGCGAGAUCGUCACGCGGCGGCCAUAGGACAGUCACGAUGACGUGUUCCCGUCGUUCUCCGGGGUCGCUGGCCCUUUUCUCGGUCCUCUGCGCGCUGAUAUCCGUCCGAGCGGUCCCGCACGGCGGUCUGACGGUGACCGCGGCCGAUCGGAACGCCACUGCAGCCGGCCGGACCACCACGGACCACCACCACCAUCACCGUCGCGGACGGCAGAACGCAUUUACUAGCAAUAGAUUUAAUUUUCUUGAACGAAUAAGGAAUGCAAGUCGAGUAUGAAAUGAAUAGAAAUUGAAAGAUAUGAUAUUGGACCAAUUGCAAAAAUAUAUUUAAAACCACAUGAUUUGAUGAAUAUUUUCGUGGGUAAAUAUUAUAUUAUAAUAAACUAAUUAAUAUUGAAACGUAAUUUAUGUUACUUGUUUAUUUUACCUAUUAAUUUCAAAAUGAUUUAUCUAAUGAGUAUUAUAGUUAUGAAACAACAACUAAAAAAAAAACAAAGACAAAUAUUGGAAUAUACUCGUACACUAAAUCAAAUAUUUUGAUGAAUACAGCUUCUAGGUGAUCAUCAACGUCAUUCAUAUACGAUGAUGUUAUAAUAUUCGGUACAUUCAAGAUCGGCAUUUCAUUGUACUUUGUUUACACUUAAAUAACGAUUCUAUUUCGACUUUGAUACUUGUAUAUGUAAAUAUAUUUUGGUGAAAAUUGUAUCUGCCUGUAGUGUUACACGAUUUAUUUCUUAUUUAAGCGAAUAUAUAUUAUUUUCAUUUUAA